CCUACGGGCGGCAGCAGUGGGGGAUAUUGCGCAAUGGGGGAAACCCUGACGCAGCGACGCCGCGUGAAGGAUGAAGGUUUUCGGAUCGUAAACUUCUUUGACCGGGGACGAAGAAAUGACGGUACCCGGGGAACAAGCCACGGCUAACUACGUGCCAGCAGCCGCGGUAAUACGUAGGUGGCGAGCGUUGUCCGGAUUUACUGGGUGUAAAGGGCGCGUAGGCGGGGCGGCAAGUCCGAUGUGAAAUCCCGCGGCUCAACCGUGGAACCACAUCGGAAACUGUCGUCCUUGAGUAUCGGAGGGGAAAGCGGAAUUCCUAGUGUAGCGGUGAAAUGCGUAGAUAUUAGGAGGAACACCAAUGGCGUAGGCAGAUCACUGGCUCGUUUCUGACGCUAAGGCACGAAAGCGUGGGUAGCAAACGGGAUUAGAUACCCCUGUAG
rnacentral:rRNA from 1 species